rnacentral:rRNA from 1 species
CCCUAUGGGGCGCAGCAGGCUCAUCUCUCCAAAUGUGUCCCCUGGCCCAUGCACGUUCAGCAAUCGUUCUUCAGGUGUUCCCAGGGCCUUGAUGACAUCGACGCUCCCUUCCAACACGAUGUAGAAGCACUCUCCCGGUUCCCCCUCGUGGAAAAGAAUGCGCCCCAGAGGGAGUUGGAUGCGCCUCAGAGUCGAAAUGAGAUGCUCCGCCUCCUCAAGGGAGAGCGGUGCGAAGAGCGGAUUCCGUAUGAGAAUGUGGGCAGACAUGCCGGGUCCUCAGCGCCGGGAUGGAAGGCCGUCGAGUUCGUCCCCGAUACAACCAUUUUUAUCAAUGAGUUGGAGCAACAGCGACAGAAUUAUGCUAGGAUUCGUCAUGGUCUGAUUCUCAUUGGCUGGCGGGGGAGC